rnacentral:rRNA from 1 species
UAAUACGAAGGGACCUAGCGUAGUUCGGAAUUACUGGGCUUAAAGAGCUCGUAGGUGGUUAGAAAAGUUGGUGGUGAAAUCCCAAGGCUUAACUUUGGAACUGCUAUCAAAACUUUUUGACUAAGAGUAUGAUAGAGGAAAGUGGAAUUUCUAGUGUAGAGGUGAAAUUCGUAGAUAUUAGAAAGAACACCAAUUGCGAAGGCAACUUUCUGGAUCAUUACUGACACUGAGGAGCGAAAGCAUGGGUAGCGAAGAGGAUUAGAUACCCUCGUAGUCCAUGCCGUAAACGAUGUGUGCUAGACGUUGGAAAUUUAGUUUUCAGUGUCGCAGCGAAAGCGUUAAGCACACCGCCUGGGGAGUACGACCGCAAGGUUA